GGUGGCUUAGUGGUAAGAGCGUCCGCCUCCAAUGUAGGAGGUUGUGGGUUCAAUCCCCUAUUGAAUCA